rnacentral:tRNA from 1 species
GCGGCGAUGGUGGAAUUUGGUAGACACGCCAGCUUGAGGUGCUGGUUCCGAGAGGAAUGGAAGUUCAAGUCUUCUUCGCCGCA